AUGCUGGGAGUGCCUGGGCUUGGCCAUGGGUACCAGUUCAGGAGUGAGGAAGCAACCAGAGUCUUGAUGAGUUCUGCAGGACCCUGGUCUGGAGGCUUGAAAACCUACUCAAACUUUCUGACCUUCAACAUGUUGCCAUUUGUCUUCAAGCUUGAUAUUUCAUGGUCCCAAGAUGACUCCCACAGCUUCAGCCAUCCGAGUCACAUAACAGUGUCUAAGAUAGGAAGAGAGACAAGGAAACAAAAGGAACCUCUUUUGAAGCUAUUUGAGUCUCCAUUGGAUUCCAGGAAAGCCUUGACUAUGAAGUACAUCUCCCAAGGAGAUCCCUUUUUUAUAUUAUUGUACAUUGCCACCCACCACUGGGAUUUGUUUUAUAUUAUUGGAACUCUAAACUAGAGAUAUGUUUACUCAAGGUCAAUGAAUGGCAAAGGACAGAGGCUGCCAGGAUCACCUUGGACCAGUUGACAGUUACCUUUUGGGCUGGAUGCAAUUUUACUCUAGAAGAACUUGGUAGUAAAGAAGAGGCAGAUAACGGCAGGGCCUGCUUGCUGCCUCUUGGCAAGGUGGGAGGGCAGGACCACCUGUUCCAAUCUCUAGGGCUAUCUUCCUCCUAGUCAUUCACACAGCAGGGAAGCCAAGUGAUGCUCAAGAUCACAUAGCCCAGAAACUGGGGCUCCCCUGGGGCACCCUCUGUGAUCUCAGCCCCUUUCAUCCCUCUGUGUUGAUUCUCUUGCUGGCAUGCUUCCCAUGGGACAUCCUACUCUCCGAGGGCAGGGGCCAUGUGCCUACCCACCGGGUCUCUCUUUAGCAUCCAGGAGAGAGCCUGACAUUACUGAGUGAAUGAAUGAACAGGCCUCAAGAUGUGUAACAGGCACAACCUGGUCGGUCUAUCCAUCUGUUAACUAAAGUGAAACUGAAGUCCUGGGGACCACUGUCAGUUAAGGUCAAAAGAAAUGAGGAUCAACCAUAUGUGGGUAUAACCACAAACUGGAGGAGCAGGCAGGAAGGGGUACAGGCAGCCCCAGGGCAGAGGCCCCAGGAGGAGACUCCAUCUCUCAGUCAGAGCUUUCUGGAAGUGAGCUGGCUGCUUUGGGAAUGGCAACUGCUCCCACUGCUGGGGCAGCCUUGGGGCAUGCUCAGAUGUGAGCAUGGCAAACCACCAGGCCCUGGAAUCAAAGACCUUGGCAGAUUCUAACAGACUGUAUUAAGAACACAAACUAAUAGCACUCACAGAGCUUCUGGUUCCCAUAACUAGAGAAAUGGAGUCACAGAGAAGGGAAGCAACUUGCCCAGACGUCACACAGAAUCAAUGGUGAAGACUGGCUUUCACCAAGACAUUAGGACUGGAGGCUCUUCUCUAUACUCUGAGAUCACAUGGGCUUUUCCACUCCCUUGG
rnacentral:lncRNA from 1 species